GCAUUCGCGUGCAAUAUCACGGAUGCUCGAUGAAAGCGGGAUACUGAUAUACCUGUUUUUAGCGCACGGCCGUUUGCUUAGUCAUGUCGCGUAGUUUAAUUGCGGUAACAUCCGCCGUUUGCUAGCGGUAAAUGCAUGCGUGUGGCGCCGCUAAGCUCGACGACACGAGCUUGAUUCCCGGCCAUGGCGGCCGCAUUUCGACAGGGGCGAAAUGCAAGAACACCCUUGUUGCCGUGUGCUUUGAUUUUUGUUCACGUUAAAGAACCCCCGGAGGGUAAAAUUAUUCCCGAGACUCCCCAGUACAGCGUGCCUCAUAAUGAUUUCGUGCUUUUGGCAUGGUUUUGGCACUUAGAACCACCGCCGAAUUAAUUUGAUUGCACUGUGCAUUCCCUCGCGAUCGGCAUGGACGGGCUCAAGAGAAUCAUUUCCCUUUUCCAAACGCUGCAACUUAAAUUACUAGUUGUGCAGGUAAGGAAAGGGGCCGCGCGCUACUUUUCUGUGGUAACAGACCGUAUUUAAUGCAAUCUGCGGUCGUCGCGUGCGUCGGAAAGCGGCAGAUCGGAAAGCAGCCGCUCGAUACGUGGGCGUUAUGCGUGUUGUUUGGCCAGGCUUUCUAAGUUCACAAUAUCCAAGCAUACUUUAAGUGCUGAUGGCAGUCCCUGGGAGCCAUCAAAAAGCAGGCGAAUUUGCAGCACCCAUUUCAUUGGCAACUGCAAGAGUGACCUAACAUCUUCGCACCUGUAUACAGAAAGAAAGCACUAGAUCGACAGAGUGUGAAAAGAUGGUAGCGGCGCCUAACAGACCAAUGGCAAUCACAGCAGUCUUCUCAGCAGUCAGCACCACCGGGACAUGUGCUUUCGUACUGCAGCGACACAGCUCUUGAGCAGCAGCAAGACACAUGUGAAACAGGCUUCAAAACAUGCCUUUCUGAAGUGACGGAACUGUCAACAAGCAGCCCAAUGGAUCUGCAGUCAUCGAGUAGUAUGACAACAGAAGUCCUUGUUGCCAGAGUGACUUAUGUUGUAAUUGAAAUAAAAGUGGCUAAAUUUCUCAA